UCCACGCCCUAAACGAUGAACACUAGUCGUCGGGAUGCUAGUCAUCUCGGUGAUGCACUUAACAGAUUAAGUGUUCCGCCUGGGGAGUACGGUCGCAAGAUUAAAACUCAAAUGAAUUGACGGGGGCCCGCACAAGCGGUGGAGCAUGUGGUUUAAUUCGAUGCAACGCGAAGAACCUUACCAUCCCUUGACAUCCACAGAAGAGACUAGAGAUAGACUUGUGCCUUUCGGG
rnacentral:rRNA from 1 species